rnacentral:rRNA from 1 species
CCUACGGGUGGCUGCAGUGAGGAAUAUUGGUCAAUGGGCGAGAGCCUGAACCAGCCAAGUCGCGUGAAGGAUGACGGCCCUACGGGUUGUAAACUUCUUUUGUCAGGGAGCAAUUGGGUCCACGCGUGGGCUUAGCGAGAGUACCUGAAGAAAAAGCAUCGGCUAACUCCGUGCCAGCAGCCGCGGUAAUACGGAGGAUGCGAGCGUUAUCCGGAUUUACUGGGUGUAAAGGGCGUGUAGGCGGGACUGCAAGUCAGAUGUGAAAACCACGGGCUCAACCUGUGGCCUGCAUUUGAAACUGUAGUUCUUGAGUACUGGAGAGGCAGACGGAAUUCCUAGUGUAGCGGUGAAAUGCGUAGAUAUUAGGAGGAACACCAGUGGCGAAGGCGGUCUGCUGGACAGCAACUGACGCUGAGGCGCGAAAGCGUGGGGAGCAAACAGGAUUAGAUACCCCAGUAGUC